AACGAACGCUGGCGGCAUGCCUAACACAUGCAAGUCGAACGAGACCUUCGGGUCUAGUGGCGCACGGGUGCGUAACGCGUGGGAACCUGCCCUUAGGUUCGGAAUAACUCCCCGAAAGGGGUGCUAAUACCGGAUAAUGUCUUCGGACCAAAGAUUUAUCGCCUUUGGGUGGGCCCGCGUUCGAUUAGCUAGUUGGUAGGGUAAAAGCCUACCAAGGCGACGAUCCAUAGCUGGUCUGAGAGGAUGAUCAGCCACACUGGGACUGAGACACGGCCCAGACUCCUACGGGAGGCAGCAGUGGGGAAUAUUGGACAAUGGGCGAGAGCCUGAUCCAGCUAUGCCGCGUGAGUGAUGAAGGCCUUAGGGUUGUAAAGCUCUUUUACCCGGGAUGAUAAUGACAGUACCGGGAGAAUAAGCUCCGGCUAACUCCGUG
rnacentral:rRNA from 1 species